rnacentral:lncRNA from 10 species
UGGACUCUGAGUGGCAAUGAUAUGCUAAUGUAGAUUCAUCAGUUGUAACAUGUUCCACUCUGGUUGGGGAUAUUGAUAAUUGCUGAGACUAUGCAUGUGUAGAGAAUCAGAGGAACUAAGGUGAGGACUAAGAAGCUCAUGGAUGGUAAAAAAAAGAGAGACAGUGAGUAUCUUUUGAGAAGUUCAGCUAUGAGGAAUUGAAUGAUAUAAGGAAGAUAGAAAGCGUGGAAAGGGAGAUGUGUACACACAUGUGUGUGAGUUUAUAUAGACAUGAAA